UACGUAGGUGGCAAGCGUUGUCCGGAAUUAUUGGGCGUAAAGCGCGCGCAGGCGGUCCUUUAAGUUUGAUGUGAAAGCUCAGGGCUUAACCCUGAAAUGGCAUUGAAUACUAGCGUGCUGGAGGUUUGGAGGGGGGACUGGAAUUCUCGGUGUAGCAGUGAAAUGCGUAGAUAUCGAGAGGAACACCAGUGGCGAAGGCGAGUCCCUGGACAACACCUGACACUGAGGCACGAAAGCCGGGGGAGCAAACAGG
rnacentral:rRNA from 1 species